rnacentral:rRNA from 1 species
AGUGAACGCUGGCGGUAUGCCUAACACAUGCAAGUCGAACGGCAACACCGUACGAGCUUGCUCUUACGGGUGGCGAGUGGCGGACGGGUGAGGAAUACAUCGGAAUCUACUUUUUCGCGGGGGAUACCGUAGGUAAAAUUACGCUAAUCCCGCAUACGCCCUACGUGUGAAGGCAAGGUAUUUUCGGACCUUGUGCGCUUGCAUGCUACGAUGUCGUUUUAGCUAGAUGGCGGGGUAAAGGCCCAGCUAGGCGGCCAGCCGUAGCGGGUGUGAGAGGAGGAUCGCCCACACGGGAGCUGAGACAGGGUCCAGACGCCUGCGGGAGGCAGCAGUGGGGAAUGUUGGACAACGGUCGCAAGCCUUACCCAGCCAUACCGCGUGGGUGAAGAAGGCCUUCGGGUUGUAAAGCCCGUUUGUUGGGAAAGAAAAGCAGCAGGUUAAGACCCCGCGGUUCUGACGGUACCCAAAGAAGAAGCACCGGCUAACUUCGUG